GCUCCUCUGAGUAGGCUAGCCAGACCACCUGAGGCCAGGCAGCUAGGGUGCAUCUGGGGCUGAGGAUGAGAAAGGAAGACCCUGCACCCAGGCUGGCCACCCAGCCAGGUGGUACUGGUGGCACUUCACACUUUCCUCAUCCUGAGCUUCGUGUCUCUAAGACGGAGCUGGUAUGUCAUCACUGCUCAAACGCCAACAUCCCUGCACGAGUGCGGCGCAUCCUAAGUGCCCAUUUUGUGUUCUCAGCAGCUAGCAGCUAUUAGCGUUACGAGAAUCCUAAGCCCACUCUGCUCUUCUCUGCACUGGAAUCGCCGCACUGCCUUGAGUGGAUUGCAAAGAUUUACCAAGUAACCUGGCAACAGCUCCCUGCCAGAACCCACAGCUGACAUCACACUGGCGCAGUAAGAAACGGCACGUUAGAGGAGCCACUUUCAAAUCGUGAGCAUGGCGAGCAUGAAGAUAAAAUGGUCCAGUCCAGAGAAACUCUGGCACAUGGGUACCAGGGACACACAGAAGGCUGUUUAGAGGGCCUCUCUAGUCUCCACAAAGGUGAGAGGAACGGCUUGGUUUCUCUUUGCUGAAUAAGAUGGAACAGACCGACCCUGGCUUGUCAGGAAACGGACAAAGUGCCAGCUCUUGGCUUGGUGGAAAUUUCUGGUGCUGGCUGAGCCGAGUCCAGCUUGAGGAGCACAGGACAGCUGAUGUGACCAUGGUCCUGGAAGGUAUUUCAUCAGAGGAACCCCCAAAGCAGGAGAAAUGAGUGGGGUGGGUGACGGUGGGGCGCCCCAGUGGGUACUCAAGGUGCUACCUAAAAAGGAUGCCAUGUGGAGAAGGGCCAAAUGCCUGUGGGUUGCAGUCACCUGGAUAGUCCCCUUCCUCGCUGGACCUAACAGUGGAGCUCGCUCUGGGGGCUUCAGCAGCGUCUCUGCAAGCUC